rnacentral:snRNA from 1 species
GUGUUUAGUUCGCUAACACAUAUAUAAAAAUUGGAACGAUACAGAGAAGAUUAGAUGGCCCGCUGCGGCAAGGUAUGACACGCAAAUUCGUGAAGCGUUCCUCAUUUUG